GAUGAAGAACGCAGCGAAAUGCGAUAAGUAAUGUGAAUUGCAGAAUUCAGUGAAUCAUCGAAUCUUUGAAUGCACAUUGCGCCCGCCAGUAUUCUGGCGAGCAUGCCUGUUCGAGCGUCAUUUCAACCAUCAAGCCCCAGGCUUGUGUUGGAGCCCUGCGGCUGCCGCAGCCUCCCAAAACCAGUGGCGGGCUCGCUAUCACACCGAGUGCAGUAGUUUACUCUUCGCUCAGGGCGUGUGGCGGGUGCUAGCCGUGAAACCCCCAACUUCUCAAGGUUGACCUCGGAUCAGGUAGGAAUACCCGCUGAACUUAAGCAUAUCAAUAAGCGGAGGA
rnacentral:misc_RNA from 1 species